GUUUUGGUUUGCAGUUUUCAUCUGAUGGAUGACGACAUUUUCUGAAUAGACAACAUUAAAGUAAGCCCACAUGUGUUGGCUGGAAGGAUCUAGCCGUCUACAGGCAAUGAAUUCCAGGGAAAAGAGAGCAAAUAGGAAGGAAGAGUCAAGUACCUACUAGAGGAUGAGCCGAGCACACAGUAGGCAUUUAACAUCUAUUCUGGAAGAGAGAAAGGAAGAAUAAACAGAUCACUCAAGAAUUUUGAUUGUAAAGAGGAGUAAGCAGUAGAAACUGCAAUAUCAAGGAAAGAUUUUGUUUUAUUUUUCUUAUAAGAAGAGAGCAACUUGAAAUUUUGUAUAGCAUAAGGAGAAG
rnacentral:lncRNA from 1 species